AUGACAUGUUUGUUCAACAGCAUGCUCGUUGUAAAUGUGGGGUCAUGGUACAGAUGUGUCCACUCUGAUGUCAAGUACAGAACACAUGUAAAGAUGAAUGUGAACAAUCAUGGCAAAAAGAGCGGAUCUGAGAAAAAAAAAUCAGAAUUGGGUCACUUUCAACUGGUUUUGUGAAUGUAGCCAAAGUGUCCUUGAGCAAAACACUGAAACUCUCCAGAGGCUCACACCCUGACUAACUCUGAGCUUUGUGCAAAACGUGUAUUUAAAGCAUUCCCAGAGAUGUUAGUGAAAUGGUACAUUACAUUGUGUAAUGUGGUGAUUGAUUUCCCUGGAUUCCUACAAAAAUGAAAAAAAGGUUCUUUGUUGGUUCCAUGCAUUUAAGAAGUCUGGCACAAACUUGUUCGACCUUUUUAUUGCAGGCUUGUGAUUUGUUCAUGGUUAUUAAGCACUUAAUGUUUAAUGAAAUAAAGAUUUCCUCUAUUUUGAAA